AUCGAACGCUGGCGGAAGGCCUAACACAUGCCAGUCGAACGAGUGGCGGACGGGUGAGUAAUGUCUGGGAAACUGCCUGAUGGAGGGGGUUAACUACUGGAAACGGUAGCUAAUACCGCAUACCAUCAGAUGUGUCCAGAUGGGAUUAGCUUGUUGGUGGGGUAACGGCUCACCAGGGCGACGAUCCCUAGCUGGUCUGAGAGGAUGACCAGCGACGCUGGGACCUGGACACGGUCAAGACUCCUACGAGAGUCAUCAGUGGGUAAUAUUGCACAAUGGGCGCAAGCCUGAUGCAGCCAUUCCGCGUGUAUGUAGAAGGCCUGCGGGUUGUAAAGUACUUUCAGCGGAAAGGCGUUACCCGCAGAAGAAGCACCAGAUAACUCCGUGCCAGCAGCCUCGGUAAUUC
rnacentral:rRNA from 1 species